AGUAGGAUAAGCUAAGCACACUGUUGGUUAUGUGUGCCCAAGCAUUGAGGCAGUCAAAGUAGGCAAAUCCGCUUUGAUAAUGCUGGGAUGUGAUGGGGAGCGAAAUUUAGUAGCGAAGUAGCUGAUUUCACACUGUCAAGAAAAGUCUCUAUCGAGGUUAAAGGUACCCGUACCGCAAACCGACACAGGUGGGUGAGGAGAGUAUCCUAAGGCCAGCGAGAGAACUGUUGUUAAGGAACUCGGCAAAAUGACCCCGUAACUUAGGGAUAAGGGGUGCCACCAUCAGGUGGCCGCAGAGAAUAGGC
rnacentral:rRNA from 1 species